CCGGUCCGGAGAGAAAAUGGCGGCGGCAGCGGCGCGGGCCGGGGCAGAAUUCCCCUAUAUUUUCUGUAAGAUGAACAUGUGUGUCAUCUGAUGUGAUUUAUUUCUAAGGAGAAUUCCAUCUCCUGUCAUUUUCCAUGAAGUAUGAAUGAAGGUCAAGAAAAAGAAGUGUUACCAAGAUUAGAGGCAUGUACCUCCAGUUUAGACUGAACCCGAAUUCCUGUUUGUAAUUUAGUGAACAAGAGAAUAUUACAUGUAACAUGUAAAUAAUACGAUCAAACAAUUAAAGCACUCUACCACCUUA